rnacentral:tRNA from 1 species
AAAAAUUUAGUUAAGUAAUAACAUUAGUAUGUCAAACUAAAAUCAUUAAUUUUAAUAAUUUUUA